rnacentral:rRNA from 1 species
GACGAACGCUGGCGGCGUGCUUAACACAUGCAAGUCGAACGGAAAGGCCCUGCUUUUGUGGGGUGCUCGAGUGGCGAACGGGUGAGUAACACGUGAGUAACCUGCCCUUGACUUUGGGAUAACUUCAGGAAACUGGGGCUAAUACCGGAUAGGAGCUCCUGCUGCAUGGUGGGGGUUGGAAAGUUUCGGCGGUUGGGGAUGGACUCGCGGCUUAUCAGCUUGUUGGUGGGGUAGUGGCUUACCAAGGCUUUGACGGGUAGCCGGCCUGAGAGGGUGACCGGCCACAUUGGGACUGAGAUACGGCCCAGACUCCUACGGGAGGCAGCAGUGGGGAAUAUUGCACAAUGGGCGGAAGCCUGAUGCAGCAACGCCGCGUGCGGGAUGACGGCCUUCGGGUUGUAAACCGCUUUCGCCUGUGACGAAGCGUGAGUGACGGUAAUGGGUAAAGAAGCACCGGCUAACUACGUGCCAGCAGCCGCGGUGAUACGUAGGGUGCGAGCGUUGUCCGGAUUUAUUGGGCGUAAAGGGCUCGUAGGUGGUUGAUCGCGUCGGAAGUGUAAUCUUGGGGCUUAACCCUGGGCGUGCUUUCGAUACGGGUUGACUUGAGGAAGGUAGGGGAGAAUGGAAUUCCUGGUGGAGCGGUGGAAUGCGCAGAUAUCAGGAGGAACACCAGUGGCGAAGGCGGUUCUCUGGGCCUUUCCUGACGCUGAGGAGCGAAAGCGUGGGGAGCGAACAGGCUUAGAUACCCUGGUAGUCCACGCUGUAAACGGUGGGUACUAGGUGUGGGGUCCAUUCCACGGGUUCCGUGCCGUAGCUAACGCUUUAAGUACCCCGCCUGGGGAGUACGGCCGCAAGGCUAAAACUCAAAGGAAUUGACGGGACCCCGCACAAGCGGCGGAGCAUGCGGAUUAAUUCGAUGCAACGCGUAGAACCUUACCUGGGUUUGACAUGGAUCGGGAGCGCUCAGAGAUGGGUGUGCCUCUUUUGGGGUCGGUUCACAGGUGGUGCAUGGCUGUCGUCAGCUCGUGUCGUGAGAUGUUGGGUUAAGUCCCGCAACGAGCGCAACCCUUGUUCACUGUUGCCAGCACGUUAUGGUGGGGACUCAGUGGAGACCGCCGGGGUCAACUCGGAGGAAGGUGGGGAUGACGUCAAGUCAUCAUGCCCCUUAUGUCCAGGGCUUCACGCAUGCUACAAUGGCUGGUACAGAGAGUGGCGAGCCUGUGAGGGUGAGCGAAUCUCGGAAAGCCGGUCUCAGUUCGGAUUGGGGUCUGCAACUCGACCUCAUGAAGUCGGAGUCGCUAGUAAUCGCAGAUCAGCAACGCUGCGGUGAAUACGUUCCCGGG